CUAAGAAUAUUCCGCAAUGGACGGAAGUCUGACGGAGCGACGCCGCGUGGAUGACGAAGGCCGAAAGGUUGUAAAGUUCUUUUGCUGGGGAAGAAUAACCGCAGGAGGGAAUGCCUGUGGGAUGACAAGAACCGGCGAAUAAGCCCCGGCCAACUACGUGCCAGCAGCCGCGGUAACACGUAGGGGGCGAGCGUUGUUCGGAAUUACUGGGCGUAAAGGGCAUGUAGGCGGCUUGGAAAGCCUGGCGUGAAAGUCUGCAGCUUAACUGCAGGGGUGCGCUGGNAACUGCUGAGCUUGAGUGACGGAGAGGGAGCUGGAAUUCCUGGUGUAGGGGUGAAAUCUGUAGAUAUCAGGAAGAACACCGAUGGCGAAGGCAAGCUCCUGGCCGAUGACUGACGCUGAGGUGCGAAAGUGUGGGGAUCAAACA
rnacentral:rRNA from 1 species